CAUCCGACCCGAUCACUCCCGCCAUACUGGAGUGGGCCCCACGCCGCCUCAUAGGGCGACCGACGGACCAGCUUCAUCAGACCGUUGGACCAGGCGACCACCUCCACUGCCCUAACAUCGACACCUCUGACCGAAGUAUGCCCAAUAAUGACCAAGACAGAGCGUCGGCCACCACAUCGGGAAUACCCGGACACAAAAAACCUAAGACCAGCCGCCCUAGAUUCAAACAGCGCCAAGCCAGGCGCUGCAACCAGAGUAACACUGGGGUAAAGUGUACUGUUACAUGACAAGACAGCCCGCACCGCCCCACGAUGGUCCCAAAGGAAAACCCCAUCUACCUGUUCUAGAGCGGGG